rnacentral:lncRNA from 1 species
GCGACAUUAUAACUAAUUCUUUUACAACGUAAAUUUGGUGAGAGAACAUUACCUACUUACAGAAGUCUUUUAUACAGGGAAGGGUUGAAUGCGUUAUAUCAUGCUCUUCAUCCCUUUGAUCGAAAGCCAAUUCUUGCCGUCCUACACCCCCAGUCAUUAACCAGGUCUGCAUCACCUGAACUUAAGAGGCGGUAACGAUCAUAUAGGCCACCUGUUGGCCCACUUAAGUAACCCAAAUUAAACCAAACCAAGGACCAUUGUCUUCUAGGUCUUGGGGGACCCAAAAUUAAACCAGAGCACCGACAAUAGGACCACUGCACUGCACACACAACCCCCC